rnacentral:rRNA from 1 species
AUUGAACGCUGGCGGCAUGCCUUACACAUGCAAGUCGAACGGCAGCACGGGUGCUUGCACCUGGUGGCGAGUGGCGAACGGGUGAGUAAUACAUCGGAGCGUACCUUAUCGUGGGGGAUAACGCAGCGAGAGCUGUGCUAAUACCGCAUACGCCCUGAGGGGGAAAGCGGGGGAUCGAAAGACCUCGCGCGAUUAGAGCGGCCGAUGCCUGAUUAGCUUGUUGGUGGGGUAAAAGCCCACCAAGGCGACGAUCAGUAGCUGGUCUGAGAGGGCGAUCAGCCACACUGGGACUGAGACACGGCCCAGACUCCUACGGGAGGCAGCAGUGGGGAAUUUUGGACAAUGGGGGCAACCCUGAUCCAGCAAUGCCGCGUGAGUGAAGAAGGCCUUCGGGUUGUAAAGCUCUUUUGUCAGGGAAGAAACACCGGCUCUAACACAGUCCGGGAAUGACGGUACCUGAAGAAUAAGCACCGGCUAACUACGUGCCAGCCGCCGCCGUAA